AACGAACGCUGGCGGCGUGCUUAACACAUGCAAGUCGAACGCGAAAGUUUUCUUCGGAAGAUGAGUAGAGUGGCGCACGGGUGAGUAACGCGUAAAUAAUCUACCCCUGCAUCCGGGAUAACCCACCGAAAGGUGAGCUAAUACGGGAUACGUUCUUUUAAUCGCGAGAUUUAAAGAAGAAAGGUGGCCUCUGAUAUAAGCUACUGUGCGGGGAGGAGUUUGCGUACCAUUAGCUAGUUGGCAGGGUAAUGGCCUACCAAGGCAACGAUGGUUAGCGGGUCUGAGAGGAUGAUCCGCCACACUGGAACUGGAAUACGGACCAGACUCCUACGGGAGGCAGCAGUGAGGAAUAUUGCGCAAUGGGGGCAACCCUGACGCAGCGACGCCGCGUGGAUGAUGAAGGCCUUCGGGUCGUAAAAUCCUGUCAGAUGGAAAGAAGUGUAUAUGGGUUAAUACCUCAUAUAUUUGACGGUACCAUCAAAGGAAGCACCGGCUAACUCCGUGCCAGCAGCCGCGGUAAUACGGAGGGUGCAAGCGUUGUUCGGAAUUACUGGGCGUAAAGCGCGCGUAGGUGGUCUGUUAUGUCAGAUGUGAAAGUCCACGGCUCAACCGUGGAAGUGCAUUUGAAACUGGCAGACUUGAGUACUGGAGGGGGUAGUGGAAUUCCCGGUGUAGAGGUGAAAUUCGUAGAUAUUGGGAGGAACACCCGUGGCGAAGGCGACUCUCUGGACCAAUACUGACGCUGAGACGCGAAAGCGUGGGGAGCAAACAGGAUUAGAUACCCUGGUAGUCCACGCUGUAAACGAUGAGAACUAGGUGUAGCGGGUAUUGACCCCUGCUGUGCCGAAGUUAACGCAUUAAGUUCUCCGCCUGGGGAGUACGGCCGCAAGGCUAAAACUCAAAGGAAUUGACGGGGGCCCGCACAAGCGGUGGAGCAUGUGGUUUAAUUCGACGCAACGCGAAGAACCUUACCUGGGUUUGACAUCCUCUGACUGCCCCGGAAACGGGGUUUUUCCGACUAUGUCGGAACAGAGUGACAGGUGCUGCAUGGCUGUCGUCAGCUCGUGUCGUGAGAUGUUGGGUUAAGUCCCGCAACGAGCGUAACCCUUGUCUUUAGUUGCCAAUAUUAAGUUAGGCACUCUAAAGAGACUGCCUCGGUUAACGGGGAGGAAGGUGGGGAUGACGUCAAGUCCUCAUGGCCUUUAUACCCAGGGCUACACACGUGCUACAAUGGGCUGUACAAAGGGUUGCCACUCCGCGAGGAGGCGCUAAUCCCAAAAAGCAGUCCUCAGUUCGGAUUGGAGUCUGCAACUCGACUCCAUGAAGGUGGAAUCGCUAGUAAUCGUGGAUCAGCACGCCACGGUGAAUACGUUCCCGGGCCUUGUACACACCGCCCGUCACACCACGAAAGUCGACUGUACCAGAAGUUACUGGGCCAACCCCUUUUGGGGGGGCAGGUACCUAAGGUAUGGCCGGUAAUUGGGGUG
rnacentral:rRNA from 1 species